CCUACGGUGGCAGCAGUGGGGAAUAUUGGGCAAUGGGCGCAAGCCUGACCCAGCAACGCCGCGUGAAGGAAGAAGGCUUUCGGGUUGUAAACUUCUUUUCUGAGGGACGAAGAAAGUGACGGUACCUCAGGACUAAUCCACGGCUAACUACGUGCCAGCAGCCGAGGUAAUGCGUAGGUGGCAAGCUUUAUCCGGCUUUCUCGGGUGUAAGGGGCGUGUAGGGGGGAAAGCAAGUCAGAUGUGAAAACUCAGGGCUCAACCCUGGGCCUGCAUUUGAAACUGUUUUUCUGGAGUGCUGGAGAGGCAAGCGGAAUUCCGUGUGUAGGGGUGAAAUGCGUAGAUAUACGGAGGAACACCAGUGGCGAAGGCGGAUUGCUGGACAGUAACUGACGCUGAGGCGCGAAAGCGUGGGGAGCAAACAGGAUUAGAUACCCCUGUAGUC
rnacentral:rRNA from 1 species